GGACAAAACAAGAUACAAUAAGACAAGGCAAAAGUCCUCAGGUUGAGGCUGGACAAAACAACCCAAUAGGAGGAAAAGAAUCCCAACAGCAGACAAAGAGUCAGAGACACAUCUACUCCCACUGCUAGGAAUCCCACACAACACAAAGCUAUCAGCUAUAAAUAUAUGCAGAAGACCUGAUGCAGACCCAUGCAGGCUCCUUGCUUGAGGUGGGUUGGGUAAGUGAGUGAGGCAACAUGGGAGGUGAAACAUUCCAUUCUGCCGGGAAUCUCCUUAAACUCAGGAAGUAAACAAUGCAAAGAUUUCAGGAAUUUCCUGAAACUGACCAGAUUUACUAGGUCUCUUCCUCUCCAAGCAUAUAUAAACAUAUAUAGGCCUUAAGGACAGCUGAGAGACACAAUUAAACAAGCUGAUCAGCCUAGAAGACACUCAACAAGCACGCACGCAUGCACACAACCCAGAAGAGACUCACACCAACCAAAUUACCUGGGAAGAACACUCCCACCCAUUGAGAUGUCUACAGGCUGUGCAAUGUGUUUCGGGUUACAGCUUUUUUGAGCCAUUGCCCAUGUUAGAGUGGAUUUUUGGUCAUGAAACUGUCUUUGAAUAAUUUCUGCUGCUCUAAGUAACCCCUCACCUAUAAGUAACCCCAAUAAAGCUCAUUGAUUCAUCAA
rnacentral:lncRNA from 1 species